rnacentral:tRNA from 1 species
AAGUUGCCCUUAGUAAAGUGUAACAUAAUUUAAUGUACCCCGCUUACAUUGGGAUAAUAUCUUAGUGAUCUCUUUAA